rnacentral:ncRNA from 1 species
CAAAGGUUUGGUCCUGACCUUAUUAUCAGCUCCCUUUAAACUUACACAUGCAAGUAUCAGCACACCCGUGAGAACGCCCUUUUAGCCUUAAUAGGACAAGGAGCCGGUAUCAGGCACAGACAUACUAGCCCAUAACACCUAGCUUUGCCACACCCUCAAGGGUAUUCAGCAGUGAUUAAUAUUGUUCAUAAGCGCCAGCUUGAAUCAGUUAUAAAGUAAAGAGCCGGCUAAUACGGUGCCAGCCGCCGCGGCUACACCGCUAGGCUCAAGUUGAUAUUAUCCGGCGUUAAGCGUGUUUUAAGUGCCAAACAGAUUAGGAUUAAACUUAAACCAAGCCGUGACACGCUUGUUUCUAAGAAGAACAUAAACGAAAGUUAUUCUAACUUAACCACUUGAACCCACGACAGCUAGGACACAAACUGGGAUUAGGUACCCCACUAUGCCUAGCCGUAAAACAUACAUUUACACCCCUAAUCGCCAGGGAAUUACGAGCACAAGCUUAAAACCCAAAGGACUUGACGGUGUCCCACCCACCUAGAGGAGCCUGUUCUAUAAUCGAUUUCCCCCGAUAUACCUUACCAUUUUUAGCUUUUUUCAGCCUGUAUACCUCCGUCGUAAGCUUACCACAUGAGCGCUUUUUAGUGAGCUAAAAGAUUUUUUAUAAAUACGUCAGGUCAAGGUGCAGCCAACGAAAUGGAAAGUAAUGGGCUACAAUUUCUACCUAUAGAACAAACGAAAGACUACAUGCAAUCCGGUCAUGAAGGCGGAUUUAGAAGUAAAAAGAAAAUAGAGAGUUCUUUUUAAUUAGGCGCUGGGACGCGUACACACCGCCCGUCACCCUCUUCAAACGCCUUAUUUUUGUUCUUAACAACAUUAUGCACUACAGAAGAGGUAAGUCGUAACAUGGUAAGCGUACUGGAAAGUGCGCUUGGCUUAACAAA